rnacentral:rRNA from 1 species
AAGAGACAGCAGUCGCCGCGGGAAUACGUAGGGUGCAAGCGUUAUCCGGAAUUAUUGGGCGUAAAGAGCUCGUAGGCGGUUUGUCGCGUCUGCUGUGAAAACUGGAGGCUCAACCUCCAGCCUGCAGUGGGUACGGGCAAACUAGAGUGCGGUAGGGGAGAUUGGAAUUCCUGGUGUAGCGGUGGAAUGCGCAGAUAUCAGGAGGAACACCGAUGGCGAAGGCAGAUCUCUGGGCCGUAACUGACGCUGAGGAGCGAAAGCAUGGGGAGCGAACAGGAUUAGAUACCCCGGUAGUCCCUGUCUCUUAUAA